ensembl:lncRNA
GCAAAGGGUACACAGGGGGUCCUGUAGGGCAGUUGGGGGUCUCAGUGGGCAGUUGGGGGUCCCAGGGGGCACAUAGGGGUCCUGGACGGCACUUUGGGGUCCCAUGGGGCACUUGGGGGUCUCAGAGGGCACUUGGGGGUCCCAGGGGGCAGUUGGGGGUCCAAGGGGUCACUUGGGGGGCCCAGGGGGCACUUGGGAUCCCGGAGGGCACUUUGGGGUCUCAGAGGGCACUUGGGGGUCCAAGGGGGCACUUUGGGGUCUCAGAGGGCACUUGGGGGUCCCAGGGGGCACUUGGGGGUCCAUGGGGGCACUUGGGGGUCUCAGAGGGCAUUUGGGGGUCCCAGGGGGCACUUGGGGGUCCUGGAGGGCACUUGGGGGUCCCAUGGGGCACUUGGGGGUCGCAAAGGGUACACAGGGGGUCUCAGAUGGCACUUAGGGGCUCCAAGGGUGCACUUGGGGGUCUCAGUGGGCACCUGUGGGUCCAAGGGGGCAACUGGGGGGCCCAAAGGGUACACAGGGGGUCCUGGAGGGCACUUGGGGGUCCCAGAGGGCACAUAGGGGUCCCAGAGGGCACUUUGGGGUCUCAGAUGGCACUUGGGGGUCUCAGAUGGCACUUGGGGGUCUCAGAG